rnacentral:rRNA from 1 species
UGCAGUCGAGCGAAUGGAUUAAGAGCUUGCUCUUAUGAAGUUAGCGGCGGACGGGUGAGUAACACGUGGGUAACCUGCCCAUAAGACUGGGAUAACUCCGGGAAACCGGGGCUAAUACCGGAUAACAUUUUGAACCGCAUGGUUCGAAAUUGAAAGGCGGCUUCGGCUGUCACUUAUGGAUGGACCCGCGUCGCAUUAGCUAGUUGGUGAGGUAACGGCUCACCAAGGCAACGAUGCGUAGCCGACCUGAGAGGGUGAUCGGCCACACUGGGACUGAGACACGGCCCAGACUCCUACGGGAGGCAGCAGUAGGGAAUCUUCCGCAAUGGACGAAAGUCUGACGGAGCAACGCCGCGUGAGUGAUGAAGGCUUUCGGGUCGUAAAACUCUGUUGUUAGGGAAGAACAAGUGCUAGUUGAAUAAGCUGGCACCUUGACGGUACCUAACCAGAAAGCCACGGCUAACUACGUGCCAGCAGCCGCGGUAAUACGUAGGUGGCAAGCGUUAUCCGGAAUUAUUGGGCGUAAAGCGCGCGCAGGUGGUUUCUUAAGUCUGAUGUGAAAGCCCACGGCUCAACCGUGGAGGGUCAUUGGAAACUGGGAGACUUGAGUGCAGAAGAGGAAAGUGGAAUUCCAUGUGUAGCGGUGAAAUGCGUAGAGAUAUGGAGGAACACCAGUGGCGAAGGCGACUUUCUGGUCUGUAACUGACACUGAGGCGCGAAAGCGUGGGGAGCAAACAGGAUUAGAUACCC